UACGAAGGGGGCUAGCGUUGUUCGGAUUUACUGGGCGUAAAGCGCACGUAGGCGGAUCGAUCAGUCAGGGGGUGAAAUCCCAGAGCUCAACUCUGGAACUGCCUUUGAUACUGUCGAUCUGGAGUAUGGAAGAGGUGAGUGGAAUUCCGAGUGUAGAGGUGAAAUUCGUAGAUAUUCGGAGGAACACCAGUGGCGAAGGCGGCUCACUGGUCCAUUACUGACGCUGAGGUGCGAAAGCGUGGGGGAGAAACAGG
rnacentral:rRNA from 1 species